GGGGCUGUAGCUCAGCUGGGAGAGCACCUGCUUUGCAAGCAGGGGGUCGUCGGUUCGACUCCGAUCAGCUCCACCA
rnacentral:tRNA from 1 species